GGGCCCGCACAAGCGGUGGAGCAUGUGGUUUAAUUCGAUGAUACGCGAGGAACCUUACCAGGGCUUAAAUGGGAAAUGACAGGGGCAGAGACGCCCCCUUCUUCGGACAUUUUUCAAGGUGCUGCAUGGUUGUCGUCAGCUCGUGCCGUGAGGUGUCAGGUUAAGUCCUAUAACGAGCGCAACCCCUACCGUUAGUUGCCAGCGUGUAAUGACGGGGACUCUAACGGAACUGCCGGUGCAAACCGUGAGGAAGGUGGGGACGACGUCAAAUCAUCACGGCCCUUACGUCCUGGCCACACACGUGCUACAAUGGUAGGUACAGAGGGAAGCAAGACUGCGAAGUUAAGCA
rnacentral:rRNA from 1 species